rnacentral:rRNA from 1 species
AUGAACGCUAGCUACAGGCUUAACACAUGCAAGUCGAGGGGCAGCAUGGUCUUAGCUUGCUAAGGCCGAUGGCGACCGGCGCACGGGUGAGUAACACGUAUCCAACCUGCCGUCUACUCUUGGACAGCCUUCUGAAAGGAAGAUUAAUACAAGAUGGCAUCAUGAGUCCGCAUGUUCACAUGAUUAAAGGUAUUCCGGUAGACGAUGGGGAUGCGUUCCAUUAGAUAGUAGGCGGGGUAACGGCCCACCUAGUCUUCGAUGGAUAGGGGUUCUGAGAGGAAGGUCCCCCACAUUGGAACUGAGACACGGUCCAAACUCCUACGGGAGGCAGCAGUGAGGAAUAUUGGUCAAUGGGCGAGAGCCUGAACCAGCCAAGUAGCGUGAAGGAUGACUGCCCUAUGGGUUGUAAACUUCUUUUAUAAAGGAAUAAAGUCGGGUAUGGAUACCCGUUUGCAUGUACUUUAUGAAUAAGGAUCGGCUAACUCCGUGCCAGCAGCCGCGGUAAUACGGAGGAUCCGAGCGUUAUCCGGAUUUAUUGGGUUUAAAGGGAGCGUAGAUGGAUGUUUAAGUCAGUUGUGAAAGUUUGCGGCUCAACCGUAAAAUUGCAGUUGAUACUGGCGACCUUGAGUGCAACAGAGGUAGGCGGAAUUCGUGGUGUAGCGGUGAAAUGCUUAGAUAUCACGAAGAACUCCGAUUGCGAAGGCAGCUUACUGGAUUGUAACUGACGCUGAUGCUCGAAAGUGUGGGUAUCAAACAGGAUUAGAUACCCUGGUAGUCCACACGGUAAACGAUGAAUACUCGCUGUUUGCGAUAUACAGCAAGCGGCCAAGCGAAAGCGUUAAGUAUUCCACCUGGGGAGUACGCCGGCAACGGUGAAACUCAAAGGAAUUGACGGGGGCCCGCACAAGCGGAGGAACAUGUGGUUUAAUUCGAUGAUACGCGAGGAACCUUACCCGGGCUUAAAUUGCAGAUGAAUUACGGUGAAAGCCGUAAGCCGCAAGGCAUCUGUGAAGGUGCUGCAUGGUUGUCGUCAGCUCGUGCCGUGAGGUGUCGGCUUAAGUGCCAUAACGAGCGCAACCCUUGUUGUCAGUUACUAACAGGUUCCGCUGAGGACUCUGACAAGACUGCCAUCGUAAGAUGUGAGGAAGGUGGGGAUGACGUCAAAUCAGCACGGCCCUUACGUCCGGGGCUACACACGUGUUACAAUGGGGGGUACAGAGGGCCGCUACCACGCGAGUGGAUGCCAAUCCCCAAAACCUCUCUCAGUUCGGACUGGAGUCUGCAACCCGACUCCACGAAGCUGGAUUCGCUAGUAAUCGCGCAUCAGCCACGGCGCGGUGAAUACGUUCCCGGGCCUUGUACACACCGCCCGUCAAGCCAUGGGAGCCGGGGGUACCUGAAGUGCGUAACCGCGAGGAGCGCCCUAGGGUAAAACUGGUGACUGGGGCU